UAAUUUUCUGCACAAACAUUGUCUCAGGUAGUUAGGGGUGUAAACGAGCCAAACAUGAGCGAGCUGGGGCCGGCUCGUGUUCGGCUCGUUUAACACAAGCUGACUCGUUAAAGUAUCAAGCCAAAAAUUUCAACUCGUGUUCGUCUCGUUUAUUAUUAAUGAGCCGAACACGAGCCGGCUCACGAGUUGGCCAACGAAUAAUAAGUUAAAAGAAUUCGAUUGAAUAUAUAUAAAAAAUAAAUUUAUAAAAUCUUAUUCAUUAGACUUUGAUCCAAUAGUUAAAAUUUUACAUAUAAAUAAGUCUUUUUAUAAUUGAGCUCACCUUUAUUUUUUUAUUUUUCUAAAAAUUAAAUAAUAAAAAUAUAUAUUAUAUAUAUAAUUAUUUAUUUAUAUAUAUAAAUAUAAAUUAAAUAAGUUAUAUAAAUAUAAAAUAUAUGUAUUCGAGCUGUUAUCGAGCCGAACACGAGCGAGCUGACCCCAGCUCGUGUUCGACUCGUUUAUUAAACGAGCUGAAAAAUUCAGCUCGUGUUCGGCUCGUUUACUAAACGAGCGAUUCGAUCUCGAGCUCAUUUCGAACCGAACACGAGCUGGCUCGCGAACGGCGAGCUGGAUUGCCACCCCUAGUCUCAGGGAUUGUUUAGUUGAAGAAUU
rnacentral:lncRNA from 1 species